UACGAAGGGGGCUAGCGUUGUUCGGAUUUACUGGGCGUAAAGCGCACGUAGGCGGCUUAGCAAGUCGGAUGUGAAAGCCCUCGGCUCAACCAAGGAAGUGCAUCCGAAACUGCUGAGCUUGAGUACUUAAGAGGAUCGCGGAAUUCCCGGUGUAGAGGUGAAAUUCGUAGAUAUCGGGAGGAACACCAGUGGCGAAGGCGGCGAUCUGGGAAGAUACUGACGCUGAGGUGCGAAAGCGUGGGGAGCAAACAGG
rnacentral:rRNA from 1 species